GUAGGYGGCAAGCGUUGUCCGGAUUUACUGGGCGUAAAGAGCGCGCAGGCGGUCGUUCAAGUCGCGUGUGAAAGCCCCCGGCUCAACUGGGGAGGGUCACGCGAUACUGAUCGACUCGAAGGCAGGAGAGGGUAGUGGAAUUCCCGGUGUAGUGGUGAAAUGCGUAGAUAUCGGGAGGAACACCAGUGGCGAAGGCGACUACCUGGCCUGUUCUUGACGCUGAGGCGCGAAAGCUAGGGGAGCAAACGGGAUUAGAUACCCCGGUAGUCCUAGCCGUAAACGAUGGACACUAGGUGUUGGUGGUAUCAACCCCGCCAGUGCCGAAGCUAACGCAUUAAGUGUCCCGCCUGGGGAGUACGGCCGCAAGGCUA
rnacentral:rRNA from 1 species